UGAUCUCAUCUCUCUCUUUUC
rnacentral:piRNA from 1 species